ACUGAUUUCUAAAUAUGCAUCUUGAGACGCCCACACACGAGGAAAACUUAUACGUAAUUACAGAGCGAGGAAAUGUAGACUGGAAAACAUUUUAUCCUGAUCCGAAACUAUAAUUUUGCGAAGCAGUUCAUCCCUACGUAUUUUAAUAUCAGCAGUUCCCAUGUUAUUUACUUUUAAUUUUCUUUUUUCUUUUUAAAACCGACACUGAAAUAGUUCAAACGCAUUAUUGCAUUUUAUUGAACGUGGUGUGUUGGAAUGCGUCUUUCCAGAAGCAUGGAAAAAAGAUUUGGUAAUACCAUUACCAAAAGCUAAUAAUCCUCAAGAAUUCAAAGAUUUAAGAUCAGUUAGUGUCCUGUCAUGUCUUUCAAAAAUCAGGUUCUUCCCGAAAAUCAGUCUGGAUUUAGGCGAUAUCACGGAUGUUCCUCGGCACUGGCAAAUGUCAGUGAUGACAUCUUCAGGGCUACAGACGCGGUUGUUUAUAAUCCUAUUAUCGACGUACGCCCAUUUUCGAAAUCUCAUGGUGGAAGGAAACUAUCCAAUCAGACUAUUUUUCUACUCUAGUAUUUUACCUACGGCUGCGAACCACUUCGGACAUUUCCGGGAUAUUACCACGGGAGUUUGGGAGCAUUGCAGUUCAUUUGGCACCAGCGGAGCACAGCAAAGCGAGUAAGUAAUAAACGGGUGACUUAAAAAGUAUACCAAACCUGUUGUACACCCAUGCGGUAAUAUCUCGGAAAUAUGCUGUGUCGCUUGGAUUCAUGAAAAACGAAAAUGAAGUGGUAAAAUGACACUUUUCGCUCGCUAGAUUGAGUAUUUUACAAAAGGGCGUCAAAAAACUUUUUAAAUCACUCGUGACUCAAGUGCCGUUUACCACACUUGUUGAAUAAUAUACCAAUGAUGAUUUAUUAUUUAACUAAUUAUCUCAACUAAA